rnacentral:tRNA from 1 species
AGAGAAAUAUGCUAUAAUUAUAAGCAGUCAGACUCAUAAUCUGAAUAAGAAUUAAUAUUCUUCCUCUA